GACGAACGCUGGCGGCGUGCCUAAUACAUGCAAGUAGAACGCUGAAGGAGGAGCUUGCUUCUCUGGAUGAGUUGCGAACGGGUGAGUAACGCGUAGGUAACCUGCCUGGUAGCGGGGGAUAACUAUUGGAAACGAUAGCUAAUACCGCAUAAUAGUAGAUGUUGCAUGACAUUUGCUUAAAAGGUGCAAUUGCAUCACUACCAGAUGGACCUGCGUUGUAUUAGCUAGUUGGUGAGGUAACGGCUCACCAAGGCAACGAUACAUAGCCGACCUGAGAGGGUGAUCGGCCACACUGGGACUGAGACACGGCCCAGACUCCUACGGGAGGCAGCAGUAGGGAAUCGUCGGCAAUGGACGGAAGUCUGACCGAGCAACGCCGCGUGAGUGAAGAAGGUUGUCGGAUCGUAAAGCUCGGUUGUAAGAGAAGAACGAGUGUGAGAGUGGAAAGUUCACACUGUGACGGUAUCUUACCAGAAAGGGACGGCUAACUACGUG
rnacentral:rRNA from 1 species